GUAUGAUAAGGAGUGGCGCCAGGUCAGCCAGCAGAAGAAGGGUGGUGUGAACAAGUCUCCCCUCUCCCUAAGGGGAUUACUACUAGGGCCGCAUGACCUCAUUAAGACUGUAGGGCAUCCAUCCUGAACACCUGCAUGCCGCACCCAUAAUUUCCACAUUCACCUCACAGCACACACACUGAAACACAGCCACUUUAUUUAUUCUCAGCCUCGUAGCUGCCUCAGCCUGCCUGGAGGAGAUACAAGUAUACUGGAUGCAGGCCACGUGCAUACGUGUGUACGUAUGCACGUGAACAUGAGCAAGUGGUCGAAAUACAGCAAAAAAUACUGUAAAGAGUGGGAACAAGAGGACGGGCUCAAGACAACAAAGUGUUAGCACCGUGUAUGCUGAAGGAACUGUGUUGUGACAUUGGCAAAAGUGAAUAUUCAUUGAUAAUACACGAAAGUACUGACAAUAAUAGGAAGAAAAAGCUGUGUAUUGUUGUUGUUGUUGUUGUUCGGUACCCAAGUUACGAACAGAAAAGAAUCAUAACAUCAUUCUUGGGACUUGUUGAACUCGAUAGAAGCACUGCUGAGGCUGUUACAGCAUCUUUGCUUGAGUUCCUGAAAAAAAAAGGUAAAUCUAGACAUAAAAAAGUGUAUUGGUUUGGCAAGUGAUGGCUGUAACACAAUGUCCGGAGCACACAACUCCGUCACCUCACGAUUACGUGAAAUAAAUCCGGAGGUUACACACAUCAAGUGCAUUUGCCACUCGUUACAAUUAUGCAUGUCGUAUGCCAUGAAAAAACUACCUUCCCACCUUGAGUUCAUGGUAUCGCAGACAUAUAAGUAUUUUUCGAAUAGCUCUCUCCGACAGCAGAAAAAUAUGCAGAGGUGUACGCUACCAUCAAUGUGGGAGAACAGCCCCUCAAGAUGUUGUUGCAGCAGCUGUCUGACACAAGGUGGCUUGCUAUUAUUAUGCAUGUUAUUCAUGCAUAAUAUUAUUAUGCAUAUUAUUCAUAAAAUAUUGGGCUCUUUUUGAGCUCUUUUGGAGGGUGGAGUCCGCGGGUUUUGGGCUCUUUUUGGAGUAAAAGUGCGCGAAAAUACUGCCGCUGACCUGGCAACCCUGCCUGCGACCGACUCGCCUGAGUUGACACUAAGCGACGGUGAAGGUGAGACGUACGCCGCCGUGUUCUGCCGUCCCUCCGGAUAUUCUCGGUGCCACCGCGACUCUGGCACCCCUCUGUUGGGUGUGCGUGGUGCCCCUGGCCUGACACUCCACGCGGCUGCUGUACCUAUACCGUGCUCCGGGAGGACAGCAGCGAUGCCGCCCUCUCUGUGUUAUGCUGUGUUUGGCCCACGCUGUGUUUUUCACGUGUUUCUGAAGUAAUGUGAUCGCUGAAGGAGAGAAAUGCUGGCGUGAGGAGGCGAGACGUGCUUCCAGGCAGUGAGUGGUCAGGUGUGUUGCGUGUGUGUGCCCGGCGAGCGGCGUGCACGGUGCAGCGGGGCGUGUGUUAGGCGGCGUUCCCCAGGGCGAGGAACUGAUGCCGCCGCCGCCGCCGCCGCCGCUGCCACCGCCCGCUAACACGAGACGAGGGUGUCGCGGCGGCGGCGUGUCGAGGAUCGUGAUCACGGCAAGGAGGUGAGGACUACAGGAGGAGGAUGUCGUCGCUGGUGGAGGCACUGCAGGUGUCUCCCGCCCGCAGCCGGCGUAGGAAGCCCUCCACGGCGCAGAGCCUCUACAGGGGCGUCGUCAGGAGCAAGUGUACCUGGGAAACACCGUGCAGUGCGGUUGUGUGUGUGUGUCCUCUUUUCAUUUAAACACCAGGGAACGGGACCACAGAGGCACAGGAGGUCAAUUAAGGUGAGUUUAGUAGUGACAGGUAGCAGAGGUCUGGCUUCAACCUACGACACUACCUGGAAAACACUGGAAAUACCUGGAAGAUACUUGAUACUUAAUAGCAAAAGGGGAGAAGAGAAGAGAGAAUAUAAUGCUAUUUAUCAUGGAAUAGAGGCGGACACACACACACACACACACACACACACACACAUAGAUACACACACACACACACACACACACACACACACACACACACACACACACACACAUAUAUAUACACACACACGCAUACACACAGCUGAAAUUAAUCCAGAAAACAGAGAAAUAACCUUCAUAACAACCACAAAUAAUAAGGAAAGAGAGAUAGCCAACCUUGUUUUUAUCUGAGCCCCCUCCCAGCCCUCCCGCGGCCGCCAUGAUGGAUUGCCAGAGUCUACCCCAGGUUCCAAUAUUCUUUCUAUUUUCUUAACUUAUAUAUUUAGGCUUUUUAACUAAGAUUUUAUGGUUUGUAAAAAUAUUUGGUGGUGUUUUGAGUGUUUUGCGUGCGAGUGUUAAGGGAAACAUGUCGAUUAUGAGGUUGUUUCAGCGUAAAUAAGUGUUGCUGUUUGCCGUUAAAUUUUUCAUACCGCCAAACAUAAUUUUUUAUUUCAGCCGCUAGGCAAGAUUUUAUGGGCUCAAAAAAUCGUUUAUUGUUUUUUAAAUAUGUUAUGAUGCUUUUGAGUGAAAUACGUGGACUUUUAGAGGGGUUUUAGACCCGUUGAAAACUCAAAAAGUCGACAUUUAUAAAUUAUUUAUUUAUUUAUUUCAGCUUCCGGUUAACUUCUGAUUGUUUGUAAAAAUAGUUUCGAUUUUUUAAAGUGUAUUGUGUUCGUGAGAAAUGAGAUUUGUGGACUUUGGAGUGUUUUUUUUUAUCGUGUUUGUUCGAACACUUUUUCAUAUAGUUAUUUAAAUAUAGCUUUAUUAUUACUGAAGCUUGGAAUAUUUUUAUAUCUCCAGAAUUAAUUUAAAAUUAUGCCCUUUCAUAAUAUGUAAAGCAUUCCGGCCUAGCUCCAUUUUUGCGAGGGGUCAUUUUCAAAAUCAUUUGCGUAACGUAAAUAUGGCGGACGUGACGUCAUCAGCCGCCUUCAUCCGGGGACCGAGACCCUGGACCUUCCCACCUGCCAGUGCCCUUCCAUCAGUAUUUAGUGUUAUUUCCUAUAUUUUCCAGCUGUUUUCAUGCAUAGAGAAGAAUAGAAAGAGGAGUGAAUUCUUCGUUUCUGUGGCGUUUUAAAAAGAGCAUCGGCAACCCUCCAAUCCGGCAAGCAGUUGGCGGCAGCGAUGGCGGUGGCGGCAGCAGUGGUGGCGAGGCGGACGGCAGGGACAGAGGGGCAGUACAGGGUGCGGACAUCAAGGAGAAGAGGAACGCACGGACAAGCAAGGUGUUAUUCGGCAGUCUGAUCCUGGACCUGGUCGGCUUCAUGGCGGUGGUGCCUCUGUGUCCUGCUCUCCUUGACUGUUACUCCAAGCACAACACCAGCGGCUUGUAUUCCUCUCAGCUCUCCUGUGUGACUUAUUACCAACAUAUCAUCGGUUUCGCUGCGAGGUUCCAUUCUGUCUUGUUUGGCACUGAUUGGCGUGACAUUCAGCAUAGGCUUCACCGUCGGGCACACUGUGGGGCCUGCGUUCUCCCGCUGGGGAAGUACUGGGUGGUUCGCGGCCUCGGCUGUCUACGCACGCACUCUCACUGUGGCUAACAUAAUAUUCUUUGCUGUCUUCUUCCAGGAAUUGCUGCCUGAGGGCCUAAUGAUGAUGAUUCCUGCUUUCAUCCUCAUCGGGGCUAACGAGACCAACCUGGGGCUGUACUCUGGACUGACGCUGUAUGCCAUAGUGCCUUGAGGUGCCAAUCAUUUCUGAAGUUUAUGAAAGCAGAAACGGCUCUCCAGAAUAUGAUUUUUACCCUAGAUCUUCCCUUCAGCGUUCAGCUUAUUCCUGCAGUGACAGGUGCAGCUUUUUAAACCCUGGGAGAAGCUACUGCAUUGAUCCCAGAGGCAGCCCACGCCCUCACAUUCACGUCCUGCACGCCCACGCCCACGCUGACCACCAAGGGGACGCGGAGCACGAGCUGAGUGACUUUGAAAAGGAGAAUUUGUUGUUCGCUUUCCCUCAGCCCUCCGUCAGCUGCUUCAGGAGUUCUGUGCAUCUCCCAGGCAGGAAUCCAGACUGCUGUACUCGUACACUGAAUAGAUUGCUGAGAUACCAAGACUGGCACAGACUCCCUGGUUAUCUCUGGCAUGCCCUCAUCCAGUUGAUGUGCGAACACCACUGCAGGGAACUCUGUCGGUGUGUCUGUUCCUUUCUUUAUCAUUUCCAGUGUUCCUGCUCUUGUCAAUGCUGUUCCUGACACUGACAGUUCCUGCACUGACACUGUUUAGUUGGGUUAGGUUUGGUUACAUACAUUCCAUUCAUUACCAUCAUCAUUAUUCUCUCAUUUCUCAUUCAUUUAUCAUAAUUUUUCCAUCCACUUGUCACCAUCCUUCCAUUUCUCAUUAAUUUAUCACUUGUUAUCACCAUCCUUUCAUCUCUCAUUUACUAAUAAUUUUUAUUCCCAUGGCCUUGUUGACUGGAUGCUCUCUCUCUCUCUCUCUCUCUCUCUCUCUCUCUCUCUCUCUCUCUCUCUCUCUCUCUCUCUCUCUCUCUCUCUCUCUCUCUCUCUCUCUCUCUCUCUCUCUCUCUCUCUCUCUCUCUCUCUCUCUCUCUCUCUCUCUCUCUCUCUCUCUCUCUCUCUCUCUCAUGGCAUCAAGUAAGCAUUACAUUACAUGUUGCCGAGUUCUUUGGGCAUUGUGAAUGAAGUGGCCUACAGUGGUUUUUUAUUUAUUUAUUUAUUUUCUCUCUCUCUCUCUCUCUCUCUCUCUCUCUCUCUCUCUCUCUCUCUCUCUCUCUCUCUCUCUCUCUCUCUCUCUCUCUCUCUCUCUCUCUCUCUCUCUCUCUCUCUCUCUCUCUCUUCAAAACAAACAGGAGGUGAAUGAGUGUGAGAGAUUUUCAGGAAAAGUUAAUUUAAGUCCCUGUUUUGAUACAAAGAACAAAAAUCCCUUGUACCCAUGAUGAACUGUGCAUUAUCAUAACACCUAUCAUGUUCUAAAUCAAUUUCCCUCCCAUCUCUAAUAAUCUCUUGAUGACAAAUUAUCAGCAUUCUCAAUCUUCUCCAGAGGCUUUUGUAGUGUCAACCGCAGUAUACUUCUGCAAAAACUGCAUCAUUAUGGCACAUUCCUGGUUCAAAGGCUGUUUGACUGAUACAACCCAGUGCACAGUCCAUCAUGGAUACCUUUUAACAAAACCUACUUUUAUUUCAUGUUUUCAAGUAGCAUAAUUAUGUACUGCUUAAUAAAUGAACACCUGAA